rnacentral:lncRNA from 1 species
GAAGGAGAAAGAAGGAAAGAAGAAAGGGAGGAAAAAGAAAAAGAGAAAAAGGAGAAGGGAAAAAGGGAGAGAAAAGAAAGGGAGUUGGCGGUGAUUGCAGAAAACAGUCGGAACAUGCGCGGUGGUUUGUCGACCGGCACGCGGUGGAAUUUGUGGAGAGGAUAAAAAUUGUGGUUGUCGGCUUUGGGUGCCGGGACGGCGAAAUCGCCGGGAAGAUGGGAUUUUCG